UCCAGCCAGUUCGGAGCUCACGCGGGCUCUGCGGGUCGCAAUUAACAACUGUGCAAGAUUGGACGCGGCUAUUGAGUUUGAAGAGCAUCACAAUGGGUUGUGUGUCGGUGUGGCGCCUUCAGUGAUGCUACUCUGCGACCGUCAUCCAAUCAAUCCACUGCUCGAUGACUAGAAUCAUCGACGCAUACCCAUGAAGAUGCCACGAUCCAGCUGCCGCACGUGAGCUGAUCGUAUCGCACUGUCCUCACGGUUUCAGGCGCACCCGUCCAGAAGCACCGGCGUGCUUUCCUGCUUUGGCUACUUCAGGGAAACAAUGUAGGUGAGAUCAGCACUGCCUGGCGUCACAGCACCUCCUGGCGUCACAACACCGCCUGGCGUCACAACACCGCCUGGCAUCCCAACACCGCCUGGCGUCACAGCACCUCCUGGCGUCACAACACCGCCUGGCGUCACAACACCGCCUGGCGUCCCAACACCGCCUGGCGUCACAACACUGCCUGGCGUCCCAACACUGCCCGGCGUCACAACACUGCCCGGCGUCCCAACACCGCCUGGCGUCACAACACUGCCUGGCGUCACAGCACCGCCUGGCGUCACAGCACCGCCUGGCGUCACAGCACCUCCUGGCGUCACAACACUGCCUGGCGUCCCAACACUGCCUGGCGUCACAGCACUGCCUGGCGUCCCAACACCGCCUGGCAUCACAGCACCGCCUGGCGUCACAGCACCGCCUGGCGUCACAACACCGCCUGGCGUCACAACACUGGGUUAAGAGCCACCGCUCUCUACAGUCUACACGUCUGGAAUACCCCAAGAUCGACCCAGAUCAGACUCCGCAAAAAAGUAUCCGUCAUACAUCUGUGUCUCCACAAUAAACCUGACAUUGCUGGUGAGAUACAGUUUCCUUUUUGCAGUGAAUCAAUGCCCUCGGCUCUGUGGGUUGUUGUAGCUCUUCUGCUGCUGCUGCUGCACGUGGCCUGUAAUUCAGCACUGUGGAGCCAGGUAGCUAGAUCACCAGAUCUCACGCGUUACCGCGUCGCUUACUUAAUUCACUUCGUAACUAAUUAUAAGAUGUAAUUACACCUUCAUACAAUUAAGGAUAGGCGAUUUUCUCCGGCCAAUAGAUUCAUCUUAUUCAACUCACCUGCCAAUCACAACCAGUCCACCAGUAAUCGACGCCAAUUGUUGAACAAGUUCACGUGCAUAGCUGUGCGGGAAGCCCAUUGCACGCGAGAGCUGAACUCUUGUUGACGCCUGAUGAUGCCGGGUGUAAUCUCGCGCGAAACGUCGAAUAAAAUUGUCAGAAAUGUUGCUUCUUUUGUUCAACGUUCCUCCACCGGCUUACUGAAGGAAAAAAAAACAAUUGACAUAUUUGCCCACGUGACAAAAUGUGUUGAAUAGCUCAGUCGGGUGGUGGAGGGCUAUCAUCAAAAUAAUUGAUAUUAUACACAAGAUCCGACCCAAAAACGACCUAAUGAUGAAUCAUAACAGUAAGCGUGAUAGCCUACGGAGUCAAAUAAACAAAAUUAACUGAAAAAGAUAAUCUCACCUGUGUCACCGAUUGGGAGGUGGCUGGGUGUGGCUUGGUGACAUAAUCAGCAUCAUAUCAUUGGGCUUGGCUUGCGAUUUGGGGGGUUUCCUGCCUUCAGGGAUGAGGCAGGAUGUGGGAACUCCCGAGUCAUUACCCGAGGAGUACGAACGUCGUAGGCGCUAACCAGACGACCGAAGAAUGUUCCGUGUAUGUGUGCGAAACGUAUGGUAUGUUGAUUCUUGGACUUCGUAUAUAUUUCGCAGAGAAGUAUUUGGGUUUGAAAGAAAAAAAACUUUCAUUAUUUUAGUGUUUCAACCACCGUUCUUGUCAUCGCAUUCCAAACCUCCCUUGCAAAACAAACGCCCCAAAAAAUGUUGACAUUAUACAUAACGACUGCACAAGCGUGUAAUAAAGCUCACCGUUUACU